GACGAACGCUGGCGGCGUGCCUAAUACAUGCAAGUUGAGCGAUGAAGAUUGGUGCUUGCACCAAUUUGAAGAGCAGCGAACGGGUGAGUAACGCGUGGGGAAUCUGCCUUUGAGCGGGGGACAACAUUUGGAAACGAAUGCUAAUACCGCAUAACAACUUUAAACAUAAGUUUUAAGUUUGAAAGAUGCAAUUGCAUCACUCAAAGAUGAUCCCGCGUUGUAUUAGCUAGUUGGUGAGGUAAAGGCUCACCAAGGCGAUGAUACAUAGCCGACCUGAGAGGGUGAUCGGCCACCAUGGGACUGGGACACGGCCCAAACUCCUACGGGAGGCAGCAGUAGGGAAUCUUCGGCAAUGGACGAAAGUCUGACCGAGCAACGCCGCGUGAGUGAAGAAGGUUUUCGGAUCGUAAAACUCUGUUGGUAGAGAAGAAAGUUGGUGAGAGUGGAAAGCUCAUCAAGUGACGGUAACUACCCAGAAAGGGACGGCUAACUACGUG
rnacentral:rRNA from 1 species